GGAAAUGUAGCUCAGAUGUAGAGCGCUCGCCUAGCAUGUGUGAGGUACUGGGUUCGAUUCUCAGCACCA
rnacentral:tRNA from 1 species